rnacentral:rRNA from 1 species
GUCUUUUUGAUUUUAAUUUAAAGUUUAACCUGCCCAUUGAAAAUUUUUAAAAGGCUGCGGUAUUUUGACUGUACAAAGGUAGCAUAAUCAUUAGUUUUUUAAUUGAAAACUUGUAUGAAUGGUUGAAUGAGAAAUUAACUUUUUUAAAAAAAUAAUUGAAUUUUACUUUUUAAUUAAAAGGUUAAAAUAAAUUUAAAAGACGAGAAGACCCUAUAGAGUUUUAUAAUUUUUAUUUAAUAUUUAAAAAGAUUAAUUAAAAUUUUAUAAAAGAAAAUAUUUUGUUGGGGUGAUAAUAAAAUUUAAAUAACUUUUAUUUUUUUUUACAUUAAUAUAUGAAUUUAUGAUCCAUUAUUUAUGAUUAGAAAUUUAAAUUACCUUAGGGAUAACAGCGUAAUUUUUUUUUAAAGUUCAUAUUAAUAAAAAAUUUUGCGACCUCGAUGUUGGAUUAAGAUUUAAUUUUAGGUGCAGCACUUUAAAUUUUAAGUCUGUU